rnacentral:rRNA from 1 species
CACGUAGUUAGCCGUGGCUUUCUGGUCAGGUACCGUCAAGGUACCGCCCUGUUCGAACGGUACUUGUUCUUCCCUGACAACAGAGCUUUACGAUCCGAAGACCUUCUUCGCUCACGCGGCGUUGCUCCGUCAGACUUUCGUCCAUUGCGGAAGAUUCCCUACUGCUGCCUCCCGUAGGAGUCUGGGCCGUGUCUCAGUCCCAGUGUGGCCGAUCACCCUCUCAGGUCGGCUACGCAUCGUCGCCUUGGUGAGCCGUUACCUCACCAACUAGCUAAUGCGCCGCGGGCCCAUCUGCAAGCGGCAGCUUGCGCCGCCUUUCAACCUUCCUUCAUGCGAAGGAGGUAUUAUCCGGUAUUAGCCCCGGUUUCCCGGAGUUUACUCCCCCGGUCUUGCAGGCAGGUUGCCCACGUGUUACUCACCCGUCCGCCGCUAACUUUCAAAAGCAAGCUUCUUGAAGUUCGCUCGACUUGCAUGUAUUAGGCACGCCGCCAGCGUUCGUCCUGAGCCAGGACUCAAACU